GUUUCCUACGGGAGGCAGCAGUGAGGAAUAUUGGUCAAUGGGCGCAAGCCUGAACCAGCCAAGUCGCGUGAGGGAAGACGGCCCUACGGGUUGUAAACCUCUUUUGUCGGGGAGCAAAGCGAGUCACGUGUGACUCAUUGAGAGUACCCGAAGAAAAAGCAUCGGCUAACUCCGUGCCAGCAGCUGCGGUAAUACGGAGGAUGCGAGCGUUAUCCGGAUUUAUUGGGUUUAAAGGGGGCGCAGGCGGAGGGGCAAGUCAGCGGUCAAAUUGCGGGGCUCAACCCCGUACUGCCGUUGCAACUGCA
rnacentral:rRNA from 1 species